GGCUUAGUGGUCUAGUGGCAUGAUUCCCUGUUAGGGUCGGGGAGGUCCCGGUUUCGAUUACCGGCUGAGCCC
rnacentral:tRNA from 1 species